rnacentral:tRNA from 1 species
GGUGCCAUGGCUUAGUUGAUUAAAGCGCCUGUCUAGUAAACAGGAGAUCCUGAGUUCGAAUCUCAGUGGUGCCU